UACGGAGGGUGCGAGCGUUAAUCGGAAUUACUGGGCGUAAAGGGUCCGCAGGUUGUUUUGUAAGUCAGAUGUGAAAGCCCCGGGCUUAACCUGGGAACUGCGUCUGAAACUACAAGGCUAGAGUAUGGCAGAGGGGGGUGGAAUUCCGCGUGUAGCAGUGAAAUGCGUAGAUAUGUGGAGGAACACCGAUGGCGAAGGCAGCCCCCUGGGUCAAUACUGACGCUGAGGGACGAAAGCAUGGGGAGCAAACAGG
rnacentral:rRNA from 1 species